rnacentral:rRNA from 1 species
UACAGAGACCUCAAGCGUUAUCCGGAAUCAUUGGGCGUAAAGCGUACCGAUAGGUGGUUUUACAAGUCAGAAGUGAAAUCUCUCAGCUUAACUGGGAGACUGUCUUUUGAAACUGUAAAACUAGAGGGGCAAAGAGGAAGCCGGAACGAACGGUGUAGUAGUGAAAUGCGUUGAUAUCGUUCGGAACACCAAUAGCGUAGGCAGGCUUCUGGGUGCCACCUGACACUGCUAGGACGAAAGCGUGGGGAGCGAAUGGG